rnacentral:rRNA from 1 species
UGCGUAGGUGGUGCCGUAAGUCAGGUGUGAAAUCUCGGGGCCCAACCCCGAAACUGCACUUGAUACUGCGGUGCUUGAGGACUGGAGAGGAGAUUGGAAUUCAUGGUGUAGCAGUGAAAUGCGUAGAUAUCAUGAGGAAGACCAGUGGCGAAGGCGGAUCUCUGGACAGUUCCUGACACUGAGGCACGAAGGCCAGGGGAGCAAACG